GCGCAACCAAGAAGCGCAAUUAAUUUCUUUUCAAUGAAUGUGCGUGGGGCUGGUUCGGCAUGUUGUUGCCAAACUCAUUAUUUUCAAGCCCCAGCAUGUCGGAGAGUAUUCUGAGGAAGUUGUUGUAGAAGCCGACAUCAACACUACACCAGACCAGUGACAGUUCCUGAUUCUGUUACCGACCCGUUCAAUGAUGAUUCUAUCAAGGAUAAAUCGACGGCUUGUAGCCAACAGAUUGUGGCAGAUGAACAGUGUGCGAUCCAACGACAACGCCAUACCCAAGACAGCUCUACUCUUGCUCUUUGCUGGUGUUGGGAUGUCUGUUUUUAGCGCCCACAGGCUGCUGACAACACAAUCAUGUCGUUCACUCCUUCCUAAACAGGAAUGAGGAUGUCAAUAGUUUGGUGACAAACUCACUGGAUGCUCCACAACAACAAUAACUGUGAAAUCAGAACUCAUGUUUCCAUCCACUUUUAUUCCAUCUGCGUGAGGUUUGACAUGUACUAAGCCCAAAGUGCAUAGCUUUGCUUACCACAGAGUCUGUGCUUACUAGGUAAGUGGUAAAUUACUGUGCUUGCUGUGUAAGCUUAAAAAUGCUUCCAAGCACAUGCAAAGGCACUUAGGCAGGAAUUUGUCACUUACUUACCUCUGAAUUUUUCGCAAAUGUGCUGUGGAGCGACAUCAAUGGAUGAGAACUGCAAUCACAACAUCACAUAAAGUUUACAGAUGUCUUAAAGGUUUUACAAUGGUACUCUUACUAUAGUUUAACAGUUUCUCAGAAUUAUCAAUGCAAUUAUUAUUCUAUGUGUAUGGAUAUUGAACAUUGUGUUGUGUCGGUGGAACGAGGUCGUAUCUCCUAAAAGAACAUAUGAAACAUGAGUUUUAAAAUGUCUAAAGCCAGGCCUGCUACUUCAUUGAGGCAACAAAGGUGAUUCCCUCCAUGCCCCCCCUGGUCAUUGCCUUGAUGCCCUUGAAAUGCCCCAGUAGAAAUGU